rnacentral:rRNA from 1 species
CCUACGGGUGGCAGCAGUGAGGAAUAUUGGUCAAUGGGCUUACGCCUGAACCAGCCAAGUCGCGUGAGGGAAGACUGCCCUAUGGGUUGUAAACCUCUUUUGUCAGGGAGCAACGCCGGCUACGUGUAGCCGGACUGAGAGUACCUGAAGAAAAAGCAUCGGCUAACUCCGUGCCAGCAGCCGCGGUAAUACGGAGGAUGCGAGCGUUAUCCGGAUUUAUUGGGUGUAAAGGGAGCGUAGACGGAAAGGCAAGUCAGAAGUGAAAGCCCAAGGCUCAACCAUGGGACUGCUUUUGAAACUGUCAAACUAGAGUACGGGAGAGGUAAGAGGAAUUCCUAGUGUAGCGGUGAAAUGCGUAGAUAUUAGGAGGAACACCAGUGGCGAAGGCGUCUUACUGGACCGAAACUGACGUUGAGGCUCGAAAGCGUGGGGAGCAAACAGGAUUAGAUACCCCGGUAAUC